GGCGAGUGGCGAACGGGUGAGUAAUGUAUCGGAACGUGCCCAGUAGCGGGGGAUAACUACGCGAAAGCGUAGCUAAUACCGCAUACGCCCUACGGGGAAAGGGGGGAUCGCAAGACCUCUCACUAUUGGAGCGGCCGAUAUCGGAUUAGCUAGUUGGUGAGGUAACGGCUCACCAAGGCGACGAUCCGUAGCUGGUUUGAGAGGACGACCAGCCACACUGGGACUGAGACACGGCCCAG
rnacentral:rRNA from 1 species